AACGAACGCUGGCGGCAGGCCUAACACAUGCAAGUCGAACGCCGUAGCAAUACGGAGUGGCAGACGGGUGAGUAACACGUGGGAACGUACCCUUCGGUUCGGGAUAACUCAGGGAAACUUGAGCUAAUACCGGAUACGUCCGAGAGGAGAAAGAUUUAUUGCCGAGGGAUCGGCCCGCGUCUGAUUAGCUUGUUGGUGAGGUAACGGCUCACCAAGGCGACGAUCAGUAGCUGGUCGAGAGGAU
rnacentral:rRNA from 1 species